CGCAAAGCUCAAAUUUGAAACCCUCGGGAUUGUAAUUUGAAGAUUUGGCAUUGGAGAAAGCUAACCCAAGUUGCUUGGAAUAGUACGUCAUAGAGGGUGACAACCCCGUCUGGCUAACCGUUCUCCAUGUAUUGCCUUAUCAAAGAGUCGAGUUGUUUGGGAAUGCAGCUCAAAGUGGGUGGUAAACUCCAUCUAAAGCUAAAUACUGGUGAGAGACCGAUAGCGAACAAGUACUGUGAAGGAAAGGUGAAAAGAACUUUGAAAAGAGAGUGAAAUAGUAUGUGAAAUUGUUGAUAGGGAAGGAAAUGAGUGGAGAGUGGCCGAGGUUUCAGCCGCCCCUCGUGGGCGGUGUACUGCCGACGCCGAGUCAUCGAUAGCGAGACGAGGGUUACAAAUGGGAGCGCCUUCGGGCGUUCUCCCCUAACCCUCCACACUGCCACCGACGAC
rnacentral:rRNA from 1 species